rnacentral:lncRNA from 1 species
AUGAAUUCUGAAUUCGCCCGCGGCCAAUUGACGCGGAAAGGCCGCGCCGCAGCCAGACACCCUCCGCGAGAGCCGCGCGCGCGCCAGUCCGAGGGAGGAGGAGGAGGAGGAGGAGGAGGCCGUGAGCGGCGAGCACGUGAUCAAACGAGGAACACGAGAAACACGACGAGAAGUGUAGAGUCACUUGUGAGGCGGAGUGAUAACGCGCGAUCGAGGCCCGUAGCCCUCCUCUCCUUCAUUCCUUUCUUCCCUGCGUGUUCAUCUCCUCCUUUUGUCUUUCUAAUCUCGUGCGUUUCUGUCUUGGUCCCCAGACGCCUCAUUUUCUUCCCUCUCUCUCUCUCUCUCUCUCCCCUUCACUUCUUGCCUCAUCACUCAAUCUGUCCUUUCUCCACCUCCUCUUUCCUUUCUUUCCUCCCUCCCUUCCCUCUUCUCCUCUCAUGCCCUCUCCAUCCCCUCCCCACAUUACUUUCUUCUCACCUUUAUCACCCAUCUCAUGCCUUGCCCACCUUAUUCUCCUCCUCUGUCAUCUCUCUGUUCUCCUCCCUUUUACAUUAUCCCCCCUCUCUAUUUCCAGCAUUUCAUCCCUCCCUCCUUUUCUCUGCUCUUCUUUCCUUAUGUUUGGCUUCUUUACCUUUUCAUCCCCCUCUUUUCUACUUAUCUCCCCACUCGACCCCUCCUCUCCCCCAUGCUCAUGUGUCCAUCCCUCUUUUCUCAUCACAUACAGUGCCCUGUCCUCACCCCCUCCCCUCCCACUUUUCUUCUCUCCUCCUCAACGCAGCGCUCCUUUCUUCUUCUGUCCCUUCUUCCCUCCUCUUUUCCUCCUGCAUACUCAUACUAGUUUGGCAUCUCUUCUCUCUUACUCCAUCUCAAAUCACACCACCCUCUGUCAUCUGCUCAGUGCCUUUCUCUUCCUCAUUUCCUCUUCCUCCUUUCCUCCUAGUUUAUUUUUCUCCUCCCUUAUUAUCGUGCCACUUUCAUCUCCUUCUCUCCUCUCUAUUUUCCUCCUCUUUCGCCCUCACCUGUCUUCUUCCUCACCUCCCAUCUCGUCUCUAUUUUUUCACUUUCCUAUUAUUUGCUCACCUUCUCCUCUAUCUCCCUUCUCUCGUUUCUUGA